rnacentral:lncRNA from 1 species
UGAGGUACAAACAAAGAUGUGACUGCUCCACAGCUUAUUGGGAGGCUCAGAUAAACACGAAUAAAUCUAAAUAAACACACAUAAAUUAAGGGCUAUUAAAAUAAACACUUGCUGCUCCCAGAAGCAGAGCCACAGCUGUUUGAUUCUACUGCUGUAUCCCACAGAGCAGAUACUCAAAAAGCUUUGUGGAGGCCGGGCAUGGUGGCUCCUCCCUGUAAUCCUAGGACUUGGGGAGGGCUGAGACUGGGGGAUUGCUUGAGGCCAGGAGUUUGAGACCAGCCUGGGCAAUAUAGUGAGAGCCCAUCUCUAAAAUAAAAUAACCUGGGCAUGGUGGUGCAGUCCUGUGGUCCCAGCUACUCAAGAGGCUGAGGUCAGAGGAUCACUUGGGCCCAGGAGUUUGAGACCAGCCUGGGCAACACAGAGAGACCCCAUCUCUAAAAUUAUAAAAUGAGCCGGACAUGGUGGCACAUUCCUGUGGUCCCAGAUACUCGGGAGGCUGAGAUGGUAGGAUCUCUUGAGUCCAGGAGUUUGAGACCAGCCUGGGCAACAGAGAGAGACCUUGUCUCUACAAAAAAUAAAAAUAAGCAAAAAUAAAUAAAAUAUUUUUUAAAACGUGAAAAAGCUUUGUUGAAUAACUGGGCAUGUUGAGAAAUCACCAAGAAUAGAGCACUGUAGGAACCUGAGGAGAAAAAAACUGAGUUGGUGGUGCAGGAGCCAAGCAGUUAGGGGUACAUGGAAGAAAAUUGCGAGUGGGCUAUACCCUGGCAAAUGCAGCUAGACAAAAGAUCUGAUGCUACUCGUUCCCGAAGAUCACAUUCUUAAGCUCGAAUGGGUGGCAGAGUUGACCUGACUCAGGGUAAUGGUACAGGAAUAUACAUGUGCAUAUAUUUCAUACUGCAAAUGUAUCGGUUUUGAAUCUGACUCUCUAAGAAUAAUCUAGAGGCCGGAUACGGUGGCUCCCACCUGUAAUCCCAGCACUUUGGGAAGCCGAGGAGGGUGGAUCACCUGAGGUCGGGAGUUCAAGACCAGCCUGACCAACAUGGAGAAACCCUGUCUCUACUAAAAAUACAAAAUUAGCUGGGCAUGGUGGUGCAUGCCUGUAAUCCCAGCUACUCGGGAGGCUGAGGCAGGGCAAUCACUUGAACCCGGGAAGUGGAGGUUGCGGUGAGCUGAGAUCACGCCAUUGCACUCCAGCCUGGGCAACAAGAGCAAAACUCUGUCUAAAAAAAAAAAAAAAAAAAAAAAAAA